CAACACGGCAACGUUUGAUUUCUGAAGCUUUUAAUGACCUGAUGGCUGAAAAGGAUAGAGAUAAAAAAUAUCAAAAUCAUGCAUGUCACUGACAGGGCGUGUUCUUUGAACACAUUUUGAUCUGUCACAAUCAGCGUCUGCAGUUUGAAGUCAUCGUUCUUCUGUAAGUCAGUCAGGAGCUUCACUGAUUCUUCUAAAUUGCUCAGCUCCAGCUCUCUCAGGUGUGAAGGGUUUGACCUCAGAGCUGCAGCCAGCAACACACAGGUGUUCUCUUUAACAAAGGACAACCUGGAAGAAAUAGGGCUUCAAGUUUGCUGUUUGGACUCUUCAGCAGUUCAGAAAGUGUCUGCACACCAGCAUCACCUAUUGCGUUGGCUCCUAGGUCCAAUUCCUAGGAGUGGUCGGGUUUGAGAGGUCGGG